CGCAUCUGUGCAUGCAGCAUAUCAAUAAGCGGAGGAAAAGAAACUAACAAGGAUUCCCCUAGUAACGGCGAGUGAAGCGGGAAGAGCUCAAAUUUGAAAUCUUAAAGGAUUUCCCUUUACGAAUUGUAGUUUAAAGAAGUGUUUUCUGUUGAGGUUUUGGUAAAAGUUCUUUGGAAUAGGACAUCAUAGAGGGUGAGAAUCCCGUAUUUGACCUUUACUUUCAACUUUGUGAUACACUUUCAAAGAGUCGGAUUGUUUGGGAAUGCAGUCCAAAAUGGGUGGUAAAUUUCAUCUAAAGCUAAAUAUUGGCGAGAGACCGAUAGCGAACAAGUACCGUGAGGGAAAGAUGAAAAGAACUUUGAAAGAGAGUUAAACAGUACGUGAAAUUGUCAAAAGGGAAGCGUUUGACACCAGUGUUGUUUUUCUGAAAAUCAAUUAAAGAACUGUUUAUGCUAAGUUGUUUAGACUUUAUCAGCUAACUGUUUAGUUUUGAGCUUUUCUUUAAUGCACCUUUCAGUUAACAAGUCAACAUCAAUUUCUUUUGCUGUAAAAAAGCUUGAGGAAGGUGGCUUGAGAUUCGUCUUAAGUGUUUAUAGCCUCUUGCCUAUGCAGUCGGAGAGAUUGAGGUCUGCAGCGUAGAUCCUUCGGGGCUAAAUGCAUUUGUGCUAAGUUAUAACAUUUUAUAGACAACUUGUUGACUAUGAUUUGUCUUGUAGCUUACUCGCUUAUGUUAUUUUACCUACGCUUAGGAUGUUGACAGCAGUAUAGACUGU
rnacentral:rRNA from 1 species